rnacentral:misc_RNA from 1 species
GCCGACUACCGGCGCCUCGWCCCGUCGUUCCUGUGGCUUACGCUGCUGUCGCCUUUCAAGUGCUUGCGUGCUGGUACCCGACCUACGGGAAGUGGUGCUUCAUACACGGUUGCCUCGCGGCGUACACCUUUUGGUGUGCCGCUGCGGCCUAAUGGCGUUUGCGUCGUUCCUUCGUGGUCCCGGCACGCUUGCGUGCAUGGUUCUAUCAAAGAAACCUCGCUCCCGCUGUUGGUCUCGGAUGUCGCUCACGAUAAAGUCUCUUGGCCCUUUAGGUUGCCUUGACCCGACCCUUAAGCGGCUCUCCGAAUUUGAGAACACCCGGAACAGGUGUUGCCUCUACCUCUCCACAGUUACGUGGUAGGAUACGCAACAUUGUGUGCCGAUCCUCAAUCAAGUAGGAUGAGCUUAGCUCGCUCAAUCGCGACAAACGGCUUGGUUGCUGCCUCAUCCUGGCUACGCAAGUGGACGGGCGGGCAAAGACCGACGCUGGAUGUCAACGAGGACGUGCUACCUGGUUGAUCCUGCCAGUAGUC